CCUACGGGAGGCAGCAGUGGGGAAUAUUGGACAAUGGGCGGAAGCCUGAUCCAGCAACGCCGCGUGAGGGAUGACGGCCUUCGGGUUGUAAACCUCUUUCAGCAGGGACGAAGCGCAAGUGACGGUACCUGCAGAAGAAGCACCGGCCAACUACGUGCCAGCAGCCGCGGUAAUACGUAGGGUGCGAGCGUUGUCCGGAAUUAUUGGGCGUAAAGGGCUCGUAGGCGGUCCGUCGCGUCGGGAGUGAAAACUCAGGGCUUAACCCUGAGCCUGCUUCCGAUACGGGCGGACUAGAGGUAGGUAGGGGAGAACGGAAUUCCUGGUGUAGCGGUGGAAUGCGCAGAUAUCAGGAGGAACACCGAUGGCGAAGGCAGUUCUCUGGGCCUUACCUGACGCUGAGGAGCGAAAGCGUGGGGAGCGAACAGGAUUAGAUACCCUGGUAGUCCACGCCGUAAACGUUGGGCGCUAGGUGUGGGACUCAUUCCACGAGUUCCGUGCCGCAGCUAACGCAUUAAGCGCCCCGCCUGGGGAGUACGGCCGCAAGGCUAAAACUCAAAGGAAUUGACGGGGGCCCGCACAAGCGGCGGAGCAUGCGGAUUAAUUCGAUGCAACGCGAAGAACCUUAC
rnacentral:rRNA from 1 species